GCGCCUGUAGCUCAGUACGGAUAGAGCAAGGGAUUCCUAAUCCCUGUGUCGCAGGUUCGAGUCCUGUCAGGCGCGCCA
rnacentral:tRNA from 1 species